CCACCCCCGUUUCUUCCCCUUCUUCCCUUCUCUCUCACCGUCUUCUUCUCCUCUUCAUCUUCCCCAACCGACACCACUUCGCGCUUCCUCUCCCACGUGAACAAAAGCAUUAGCCAAGGAAAAGUAGGACACUUCUUCUCCCGAGCCUUCUCUUCCUCGCCUCUGCCCGAUCCUCUUCUUCUUUCCCCUCCAAGUCAUGCCCUAGUUUCCUGGUGUCACCGCUAUUCAAAGCUGAACCACACUCUAUCGACCGCCGGCCAUUGAUGUCGGUGACGAGCCGGUCGUCACCGGUGUAGCUCCUACGCCACUACCAUCGCUGGUUGAAGCCGCAACAAGUGGUGUGGUGUCGUGCCCUAGAUCUCUCCCUUUCGCUUAGAUCUGUCGAUCACCAGUCAUCGACAACAACAUUGACGAGCCCGACGAGCAGGGAGCAACUCCCAACGCCGAUUCCUCUGAGCCCUAGCCUCUCUUCACUGUGUCGAUUCUUUCCUUCCUCUCUAGUUGUCGGCGAUCUUGGAGGUUGGAGGAGAGCCACACUAGUUGGUUUCAGCUAUUAUAUCCUGCAGUAGACCAUCUUUCCGACAGUAAACCCUUCCGGCUGAGUUCCACCAGUGGGCACCUUAGAUUAGGUGGAUGCCUUGAUGCAGAUAUGUUGAUUUUGAUUCAGGGCUUUUUGAAACUGCUGUGGCGAUUUUGUUUCAGCUGAGGAGUUAAAAGGAGGAGGUUGAUAAGGGCUUUGAUUCGAGACGAGCAUCUCGACAUGGGGUCUAUUUUGGAGACGAUCUCCACUUAUUCUGGCAGGGUGUGUUGCAACAGGUUGCUCUGUUAGGCUCCGCUGGUCCGCUUAUGGGUAGUGGUGACGCAGCGUGGUAGCCAGCAGGGAUCCCUCCUCUGGAUUGUCUCAGGGAGAUGAGAGCAUUGAGCUCCCUCACUUAUGAUUUGGGGUAGGAGGAUCGGUGUACUCCAACAUCAUCCUGUCCACUCAGUCACUCAUCAGGAGCAGUGAUGGAAGAGUACACAGUUGUCAUAGCCCUACCCACUCGGUCUCACCAUCGUGUGUGAGAUGGCUGACUGGCGUCAGGGGUGACCAGGACAUGUCA